UUGACGGAAGGGCACCACCAGGCGUGGAUGCUGCGGCUUAAUUUGACUCAACACGGGGAAACUUACGAGGUUUGGACACAAGUAGGAUGGACAGAUUGAGAGCUCUUUCUUGAUUCUGUGGGUGGUGGUGCAUGGCCGAUCUCAGCCCGUGGGUUGACCUGUCAGGUUUACUCCGGUAACGCGCGAGACCUCGACCUGCUAAAUAGGGACCGUCGCUCCUUGCGGCGGGCACCUUCUUAGAGGGACUGCCGAUGCGAAUCGGCUGAAGUGCGAGGCUAUAUCAGGUCUGUGAUGCCCUUAGUUAUCCUCGGUCGCACGCGUCAUACAAUGUGAUGCUCAGCGAGUUUUUCCUUCGCCGACAGGCGCGGGAAAUCUGCCAGUUCGUCACGUGACGGGGCUAGACUCUUGCAAUUCUUGGUCUUCAACGUGGAAUGCCUAGUAACCGUGGGUCAGAAUCCCACGGUGACUAUGUCCCUGCCCUUUGUACACACCGCCCGUCGCUCGUACUGAUGUUAUUUGAGACAAAAACAGGGGCUUGGGGGGCUGCCAGCAAUGGUGCUUCCCGAAAACCUUUUUGAGUCUUGUGUAAUAGAGGAACGAGAAGUCGUAACAAGGUCUCCGUUGGGGAACCAGCGGAGGGAUCAUU
rnacentral:rRNA from 1 species